rnacentral:rRNA from 1 species
CAGUAGCCGCGGAAUACAGAGGGUGCGAGCGUUAAUCGGAUUUACUGGGCGUAAAGCGUGCGUAGGCGGCUUCUUAAGUCGGAUGUGAAAUCCCUGAGCUUAACUUAGGAAUUGCAUUCGAUACUGGGAAGCUAGAGUAUGGGAGAGGAUGGUAGAAUUCCAGGUGUAGCGGUGAAAUGCGUAGAGAUCUGGAGGAAUACCGAUGGCGAAGGCAGCCAUCUGGCCUAAUACUGACGCUGAGGUACGAAAGCAUGGGGAGCAAACAGGAUUAGAUACCCCUGUAGUCCCUGUCUCUUAUACA